UCCGGGGUAGCUCAAUCGGCAGAGCAACGGGCUGUUAACCCGCAGGUUGCGAGUUCGAGUCUCGCCCCCGGAG
rnacentral:tRNA from 1 species